rnacentral:rRNA from 1 species
GUGGUUCUGAAUGGAAGGGCCAUCGCUCAACGGAUAAAAGGUACUCCGGGGAUAACAGGCUGAUACCGCCCAAGAGUUCAUAUCGACGGCGGGGUUUGGCACCUCGAUGUCGGCUCAUCACAUCCUGGGGCUGAAGUAGGUCCCAAGGGGAUGGCUGUUCGCCAUUUAAAGUGGUACGCGAGCUGGGUUUAGAACGUCGUGAGACAGUUCGGUCCCUAUCUGCCGUGGGCGCUGGAGAAUUGAGGGGGGCUGCUCCUAGUACGAGAGGACCGGAGUGGACGCAUCACUGGUGUUCGGGUUGUCAUGCCAAUGGCACUGCCCGGUAGCUAAAUGCGGAAGAGAUAAGUGCUGAAAGCAUCUAAGCACGAAACUUGCCCCGAGAUGAGUUCUCCCUGAGACUUUAAGUCUCCUGAAGGAACGUUAAAGACGAUGACGUUGAUAGGCCGGGUGUGUAAGCGCAGCGAUGCGUUGAGCUAACCGGUACUAAUGAACCGUGAGGCUUAACCUUACAACGCCGAAG